CAGUAGCCGCGGGAAUACGAAGGGGGCUAGCGUUGCUUGGAAUUACUGGGCGUAAAGGGAGCGUAGGCGGAUGUUUAAGUCAGAGGUGAAAGCCCAGGGCUCAACCUUAGAACUGCCUUUAAUACUGGACAUCUUGAGUGUAGGAGAGGUAAGCGGAACUCCGAGUGUAGAGGUGAAAUUCGUAGAUAUUCGGAAGAACACCAGUGGCGAAGGCGGCUUACUGGCCCAUUACUGACGCUGAGGCUCGAAAGCGUGGGGAGCAAACAGGAUUAGAUACCCCUGUAGUCCCUGUCUCUUAUAA
rnacentral:rRNA from 1 species